CAGGUCAGAAGCUUCCCUCAACUAUGCCAGCCAUUGGUUGGCAAGGGCUCUAUCUUCUAGUUCCAUAGUCUAAGAAGGAAGCAAGACCGAUGUGGGAAAAAAAAUCCUGGGAAGAAGUAGAUGAAAUUCCAGAAGGGGAAAGAUUCUAGGCUCAUUGUCACAGAGAUACAAAUUCUCAUGUUAGACAUCAGAACUUCCAGAUCUUUGUACCUGUACUUGGAUCCUCAGGCUCUCAGACCUCCAGACUUGGACCAUGCCAUGUUACAGCAAGACAGAGUCUACAGAUUGCAAACAACCCCUCAUGGCCCUCUUAUCAUCAUAAUCAACUGUGCCAACUUCUGUAAUUCGCCUGUGUUCAAACAUCUAUAACUACAUUGGUUCCGGCAUGCUGAAAACCCUAAAGCAAUUUUCUAUAAAACAUAGUCUUUCAUAUCAGAGUACUCUAACCCCUGGCUUUCCCAUGGCAUUGAAUGACACAAACUUUAUUUAAUGAUAAUAUAAGAACCAAAGAAUUUGAUGAGUCUUAGUAUACACAUGUAGUAAAAAAGGACAGGUAAAUGCCAUCAGAAAAAAAUACAUAUUUUACUGAAACAUUAAUUUGACAGAUAAAUUUACAUGCCAACCUUUGAUAGAAUGCCAAUCUUCUGCUACCAUCUUCUACUCCCCUCCCCUAACAUAAACAAACAAACAGUGGUUUUCCUAUUGGCAGAAGACUUACCUUUAUUUUUGGAGAAAAACUAGACAGCCUGCUAAGGACAGAGACUCAGUAUUCUCCCUGGAAUUAUUACCCUGAGUAAGUUGUACAGUAUACUAUAUCAACUAGAUUCACCAGAUACUGAAUGACCCAACUCUCUUUCUGUUGGUGCUAUCGGCACAUUAUUUG